rnacentral:rRNA from 1 species
UAGGGAAUCUUCCGCAAUGGACGCAAGUCUGACGGAGCAACGCCGCGUGAGUGAAGAAGGAUUUCGGUUCGUAAAACUCUGUUGUUAGAGAAGAACAGCGCAUAGAGUAACUGUUAUGCGUGUGACGGUAUCUAACCAGAAAGCCACGGCUAACUACGUGCCAGCAGCCGCGGUAAUACGUAGGUGGCAAGCGUUGUCCGGAUUUAUUGGGCGUAAAGCGAGCGCAGGCGGUCAAUUAAGUCUGAUGUGAAAGCCCCCGGCUCAACCGGGGAGGGUCAUUGGAAACUGGUUGACUUGAGUGCAGAAGAGGAGAGUGGAAUUCCAUGUGUAGCGGUGAAAUGCGUAGAUAUAUGGAGGAACACCAGUGGCGAAGGCGACUCUCUGGUCUGUAACUGACGCUGAGGCUCGAAGGCGUGGGUAGCAAACAGG